rnacentral:rRNA from 1 species
CGGGAGCCUGGACACAGGUGCUGCAUGGCUGUCGUCAGCUCGUGUCGUGAGAUGUUGGGUUAAGUCCCGCAACGAGCGCAACCCUUGUCACUAGUUGCCAUCAUUUAGUUGGGCACUCUAGUGAGACUGCCGGUGACAAACCGGAGGAAGGUGGGGAUGACGUCAAGUCCUCAUGGCCCUUAUGGGUAGGGCUUCACACGUCAUACAAUGGUCGGUACAGAGGGAAGCAAUACCGCGAGGUGGAGCAAAUCCCAUAAAGCCGGCCUCAGUUCAGAUCGGAGGCUGCAACUCGCCUCCGUGAAGGCGGAAUCGCUAGUAAUCGCGGAUCAGCAGGCCGCGGUGAAUACGUUCCCGGGCCUU